ensembl:lncRNA
UGCUCAGCCUCAUAGUCUCACUCCCCAGGGGGCACCCUUAGCUGAGGCAUUGAGUUUUGCCCAUUUUCCUUAAUUGGAUUGUGAUGCACACCCUGUUUGGGGACUGGUUACCUGGGCAACUCACCCGGCUGCUGGUAGCAGCCAGGGUGCAUGUAUUCCCGCGGCUGUUUAGUGUCCCUUGCAUGGAUGGGCCACAUUCACUCACUGUCCCAGUGAGACACGCGGGCCUAUUCCAGCUCAGGGCUCUGGGCCGGGUCCCACACUUCACUGGCCUUUAUUCCUGGGAACAGAACUCCUGGGUCCAAAGGCGCUCUGCCCUUCCUGGGCAGUACCACUGUCUUCUCUGAAAGGGAGCGCGUGUGUACAGGUCCUGGGCUGAGUUCAGGCAGGGACAGCGUCCUCCAGGAGGAUCAGCUGCAGACUGGCCUGGGUGGUGGGAAGGGGCCAACUGCUCAGAGACGGAUGACCGGGGAUGCCUGGCCUAGGGUGUGGAGGGCGGUCAGUGGUGUCCCUGCAGAGACGUGGCUGCUGAGAGGGGUGAUGGCAGGUGUUAGCUACGUGGAGCAACCCGGCAGGAGGAGGUGGGUACAGGGCGUUGAGGCUGGGGGCAUCCCUCAGCUCGGCGCCGCAACAGAGUGCCAUAGACGGGGCCGCAUGAACAACAGUUCAUUUUCCCACAGUUCUGGAGGCUGUAAGCCCCAGAUCAAUGUCUGGCACGGUGGGUUCCCGGGAGGACCCCUCCUCCUGGCUGGCGCCUUCUCCCCACGUCCUCAUGUGGCAGAGAGAGAGCUCUUGUCUCCCUUCCUCUUGUCAGGGCACUGGUCCUACUGAUUUAUGGCCCCAACCUUAUGGCCUCAUUUAGCCUUCAGCACCUCCUCACAGGCCCUGUCUCCAGAGACAGCCACACUGGGGGUUUGGGCUUCAACACAGGAAUUUGCGGGGGUGGUGGUGGGGGACACAUUCAGUCUGUAACAAGGGGUGAGGGCCUCUGAGGAACUGGGGUGUGCAUGGAGCAAUGGGCGAGGGGUGUUGUGGUCACCUGUCGUUGUGUAACAAACCACCCCCAAACUUAGUGGUUUAAAACGAGAAUCACCUAUUCACUCAGGAUUUCAGUUUGGGCCCGGCCCUGGGGGACAGCUCCUCUCUGCCCUCUGUGACAUCAGCUGAGGCCUUGCUCACAAUGCUGGCAAGCUGGUGCUGGCUGACAGCUGGGAGCACAGUGGAGCUCGUGGCCCGGGGGACCUUGGUCAUCCUGCGUGUGGCCGAGUGGGCUUCCUUUCAGCGUCAUGGCUGGUUCCAAAGAGUGAGAAAGUGACACUUGCCAGUCGUUUUCAAGGUUGGGCCUGAACCUGGCUGGAGUGUCAUUCCUGCCAUCAUAGAAGCCACAGAGUCCAGGUACAGCUACUGGCCGUUCCUACCAAAGACCUCAUCUUUUUGGGGGUUUUUUGAAUAAAACUGAUAUAUAUUUAAGGUGUAUGAUGUGCUUUGCUACUUGGAUACAUAGUGAAAUGGUUUCUACAAUACAGCUAAUAUGCCCACCUCCUCACAUACUUGUCUUUUUUUUCUUGGUACAAGCACCUAAAAUCUAUUCUCAGCGAAUUUCCCGUGUAUGAGACGGCCUUGUUAACUGUAGUCAUCCUGCGUGCUGCACGUUAGAUCUCUAGAUUGACUCAUCCUACUAAUGGCAGUUUGCACCCUUUGACCCCCCUCCCCCCCCAUUUCCCCAGCACCUGCCCCUGGUGACCACACAGGCCUCGGGAAACGCGCCACCUUUUAUGCUGGCAUCACCUCCUGGGCUAAAUAUCUUGUCCUUGAAGCACAUAUUGCGCAGCUCUUUCCCCAAGCCAGAACAACCCCAGACAGUUAAGACACGGGGCAAGAGCACACCACCGCUGGGAGAGUCGGGGCCAGCUGUCCCAAACGCUGGGCCCCCCUCUGUGGCCAGUGCAAGGGCUCUCCAUGGCUGGAGUUGCAGUGGAGUGUGUGCCUUUUUCUGGGGUGGGGUCCCUGGCUUUGAUCAGAUGCUCUAUGGGGCUCUCACCCAGAGAAGGGGUGACGUGAUCAUGACCACGGGUCUGAUCACGGCUCUGCAGUGUGGCUGUGAGAGAAGGAUAGUCUGUCCAGACUUGCCGAGCCCACCUCACAGGAGCCACGGUGCAUCACAUGCCCGCUCCCCACCGGCCGCUCAGCAGGAGGCCAGGAGUGCAGGUAUCCAAAUUCACUCACAUUUGUGUUUUCUUUUCCCAACUUUUUCUUGUGGAAAACUUCCAAUAUACACAAAAGCAGACAAUACAGUAUAAUGACCACCCUUCCCCACGUGCCCAACUUCUACAAUUACCAGCUCUUAGCGACUCUUAUGUCAUCUGUCCCGCCUCCUCUGUCCCCCUUUCAUAUUACUUUUCUCAAUUUUUUUAUAGACUAGCACACUUACUGAAAAGUGCUUGUGUCCUAAGUGUGCACAGGGUGAGUUUGCACACUGUGAGCUCACUGGUUAGGAUCCUCGUACCCACUUCUGCUGUGUGUGUUGGGGUAAGUGUUCCCACCCCACCUGCAAUUCCCUGACCCCUGACAAUUCCCUGACAGUUCACCUCGAUUCUGACCCUCUCCACUGGAGCCAGCAUCACAUUCCACAGCCCGAGGGCUCGGUCCCACCAGACAGCCUCCACUUCAGAUGCCAGUCACAAGCCCAGGUUGUCACCUGUGCUUCUGACCAACAAGAUAUAAAUCAGAGAGCAAAGGGAUGUUGAGACCAAAAAGUGAGCCAACCACUAUAGUUCACCCCCAGCCACGCCUGUGCAUUUCCUGCUCUCACCUCAUAAGGAGCCGCUGUGAUGGAAUUUACGAAAACCUACAUAAGCCUCUGGCCCAUCCUACAUUUUUGGUAGUUAUAGCCCAGGAAGCUGAUUUUGGUGACCUGAGGAAUCCACCGCAGUUAGUUUUCUCCUUUGGUUUUUUAGCCCUUGAUUUUGUUUAUUUUUUAUUUACUG